ensembl:snRNA U6 U6 spliceosomal RNA
GUGCUCGCUUCAGAUGCACAUAUACUAAAAUUAGAAUGAGACAGAGAUUAGCAUGGCCCCUGCGCAAAGAUGACACUCAGAUUUGUGAAGCAUUCCAUAAUUUU